rnacentral:rRNA from 1 species
UGCAGUCGACGAUGAACCACUUCGGUGGGGAUUAGUGGCGAACGGGUGAGUAACACGUGGGCAAUCUGCCCUUCACUCUGGGACAAGCCCUGGAAACGGGGUCUAAUACCGGAUAUGAGCCUGGGAGGCAUCUCCUGGGUUGUAAAGCUCCGGCGGUGAAGGAUGAGCCCGCGGCCUAUCAGCUUGUUGGUGAGGUAAUGGCUCACCAAGGCGACGACGGGUAGCCGGCCUGAGAGGGCGACCGGCCACACUGGGACUGAGACACGGCCCAGACAACUACGGGAGGCAGCAGUGGGGAAUAUUGCACAAUGGGCGAAAGCCUGAUGCAGCGACGCCGCGUGAGGGAUGACGGCCUUCGGGUUGUAAACCUCUUUCAGCAGGGAAGAAGCGAAAGUGACGGUACCUGCAGAAGAAGCGCCGGCUAACUACGUGCCAGCAGCCGCGGUAAUACGUAGGGCGCAAGCGUUGUCCGGAAUUAUUGGGCGUAAAGAGCUCGUAGGCGGCUUGUCACGUCGAUUGUGAAAGCCCGAGGCUUAACCUCGGGUCUGCAGUCGAUACGGGCUAGCUAGAGUGUGGUAGGGGAGAUCGGAAUUCCUGGUGUAGCGGUGAAAUGCGCAGAUAUCAGGAGGAACACCGGUGGCGAAGGCGGAUCUCUGGGCCAUUACUGACGCUGAGGAGCGAAAGCGUGGGGAGCGAACAGGAUUAGAUACCCUGGUAGUCCACGCCGUAAACGGUGGGAACUAGGUGUUGGCGACAUUCCACGUCGUCGGUGCCGCAGCUAACGCAUUAAGUUCCCCGCCUGGGAGUACGGCCGCAAGGCUAAAACUCAAAGGAAUUGACGGGGGCCCGCACAAGCGGCGGAGCAUGUGCUUAAUUCGACGCAACGC